GAUCUCUUGAGCUAAAGGGAAGAAUUUGAGGGUUUGAGGUGUUCUUGAACAAAGAGGUUACACUAGAACUCAUGUCGUUGCACGCCGGAUCUACCUCGUACCAAGGGUGAUCAUCGUACACAAAUAGAUGAAGAUGCAGGUAUUGUAGUACCAUUAGGCUAUGACUCUACUUCCUCCGGACCCAAGUACGGAGUUAGUGACUGGUGGAUGCUAGAGGCUGAUGAGCAUGACCCGGAUUGUGCUUGCGACACUUGUGCCUAUUCGGCACCUUGAGAGGCUUGGUUGUCUUUUUAAUAUUUUAAUGCCGAAUUAUGGAAUGGUAUUCUUUUAAGCUUAUUAUAUAUAAGUCAUGUAACAAAUGUAAUUGAAUAACUUGGUUAUAAUUAUACGUUAUCAUUAGAUGUUACCCCAUUUAAGAAAUG